AUCCUCCUUGUCCUAUCACCAUAUGCCCAUGUAAAAAACUGCGUAAGACCCAUGGUAAAUCCUAAUGUAACUAGCAGAAUGUGGGUAUGCAUUGUGAGGGUCCACCAUGGUGAAGGUGGCAAAGGAGCUGAAAACUGUGUCCAGAGCAGUACACAUGGUAAUCAUAAAUUAUUUUAGGUAACCAUGUUCCUGGAAGAAUUUAUGAUUUCUUUGGAAGCAAAACAAAACAAAAAAAAAUUAUUGCAGCCUCCUGAAGUAGAAGCUUUAGUUUAUGCUGUUGAUUUCUUUUGAAAGCUACUGAUGGAGAAGAACAUAAAAUUCCUGGCAGUAAAGCAAGACAGACAGGGAGGGAUGAGAAGUCAGAAGGGAUCUAGAAAUUUAGAAUGCUACCAGUAAAUUCUUCUUCAUACUCUUUCUCCUAAAUCACUUCACAUUUCUCAAGCAGCCAUUCAUGUACUUUUCCACCCUCCCAGUUUUUUUCCCAAGAGAUUUUCGGGUUCGUUUGGAUAAUACCCAAGGGACCGUGUCACUGACACCAUCAUGGGCCAGUGUGGACUCCUUUUGAAUGAAAAACGGGAAGUGUGUGUAGGACAGAAAGGACUCACAAAUAAGUGUAUAUUCCCUCCUUCCUCAGCUAGCAGGCAUCUGUAAACUUGUACGACUCAUUUCUGCUUUGCAUAGCUGUACCUGAUUUCAUAUGUUUUGAGGUAAGUUUGUGCAACAUAUCAGCUGGAAGGAAAGUGGGAAGCUGCUAAUAUAACAAGUAAUUGAAGUGUGUGCUUAUCUAAUGAGCACAAAUAAACAGUGCUGUUGCCUUUGCGUGGUUUAAAGUGACAGCUAUCUCUUCAUGAGAGCUGAUGCGUGAAACAAAGAGUAGACAGCCCUGACAUAUAACAUAGUUGUGCCCUCUCUGCCAUUGAAAUUAAUUUCAGGAAAUAAAUUACCUCUUCAGGACAAUUUUUCAAGUCAUCUGAGAUUUUGUCACGUGGCACGUAACAAUAGCUCUCAUGUAAUAGAGUAAUUGAAACAGCAUUUUAUUUACCAAUACUUGCAUCCGUUCAUCCUCUAAUAAUGAUGCUGUAGAACAAAUGAUGAAGCUUUAGGUACACUCAUUAACUUGUGGAGUUAAACAGCUAGCAUGUUCAGUCAGCUUCAACUGAACAGCAAAAGCAACUAUAUAUAUAUAUUUAAUAAAUGAUUGGCCAGAUUUUUCUCUAUGCAAGAAAAAACUAAUAGCUAGGUAGGAAUCUCUGUUUCCAAUUGAAGAAAGGCUCCUUAAGAGCAUCCUGAACUUCUCAGGGGCUAAAGGAUGCUGAAGGAAAACAGUCUUUUUUAAGCAGCCCACUGCCACAUUGCUUCCAGCUCCCUGCUUCCCUGACAGACUCAGCCAAACCAAGAAAUCCAUUGCUCAAUGGAUGACAACACUGGCAAAGCUGAGUCAACAUCAGUAACAUAAGAGGUUGACUCAAGCAGCUAGUCAAAAUGUAAUCCCUUGUAGGCAUUAUUUCAAUUAAAUUAAAUUCUUUCAAUCUGGAAGAGAAAUUCUGAAGUAUCUCAAUAUGUCUUUCUUACAAGUGAGGAAUGUACUCACUUGUGAGAAAAUGCAAGGUCUUACCUUCUUGACCUCAGCAAUAGGAAACUGUUUUUUUAUUUCACUGCUCUCUGACCAGAAGACCUCUUUGCCUAAGGGCUACAUGUUGAAAAGAUUGAUUUAUUCUUCCCAGAUCAGUCUGCUGCUGCUGCCUAAUGGAUAAACCUACCAGAUGCCUUGUGGUGAGGUGGUGCAGGGAGUGGAAAUGGAGGGAGGAGGGUAGGAUAGGGAAAGGGGAGAAAAAAAGGAAGGCAAAGUUAACACCGGGCAGCCAGCAAAGGUGUUAUGUUCUGGACUGAUCUAGCCAAAGGGAGUAAAAUCAGGAGAGUAGGUGGCAGGAAAAUGCACUCAGCUGAGACAGACAAGCACUUUCACGUCCCUCCUUCUGUACUCUCAUUGUUUUCCACUUUCUAUCAGUAAGGCAAAAAUCCAACAAAGUGACUCAUCUCAGUUUGUAGGAAAAACCCCACCCUCCCUUCAUACCUCUGUCUCGUCCUUCCUAAGCAACCUAACACUUUGAAUAGGAACAGAGAAAUUACUCCAGAGAAAGCUUCACCUUGUCUUCCAUUUUCGAGGUCAAAAGUAAUUAAAAAAUAAAUAAAUACAUUUUAUCAGCACCGAGCAAAAGCAUGUUUUUUACUUAAAUAAAAAUAACGUUUUACUUAGUAUAAAGGCAUCCAGAUACUUCAGAAAGUGGAAAGCAGCCCUGUGGAAAGCAGCAAGAGUUAACUACGGACUGCCACAGGACCCAUGUGUCGUUGGUAGGAUACAGCGUCUUCCCUGGAUUGCUCCAAGCACAGCUGGUGGUCUGUGAAGGAUGGCAGAAAGCUCUUGCAGUGCCUCGGAGUUGUGCACACCCUCAGAAGGCAGGGACAACUGGAAAGGGUGAGGUAACACAUUUUGCAGUGAGCUCUGAUUUUGUUGUGCUUACUACACCUGAUCCCAAUGGAAAUUUUAUCCCGCUUAAAGCUGAUCCCAAAGGAAUCUUAGUGUUCAUGCUGUGCUACGUGUGAGGCAUCUUUAGCUAGUCAGUAACUUUAUUGCCAGGAUAUUCAGACUUUGAACGUGCUGUACAAACACACUGGAAGAUACAAUGCUUUUCCAAAAAAAAAAAAGCCUGACAACAUUCACAUACCGUAUCUCAUAAUCUUUCAAUAUUACUUGCAAAUUCCAUCCUGCAUUCAUGAUGUGCAAUAAAAACAACUGCUUUAUUUUAUGCUAGGCAAGAUGUGAAACAGGCAUCUGUUUUGUAUUUUUGAUAUAACUGAAAUGUUGAGACCAGUCCGAAUGAAUUGUGUGGCUGGAUGAGGCAGUCAUUUAAGUCUGUAUCCUGAUGGCUUAGAGGAGAGUGUAAGACUCAUCCUGGGGGUCACAAACACUCAGGCUGGAACAGGUUUAUCUCCUUCAACCCCUUACUCCAAGAAAGGCCAGCUUUGAGAUUAGAUCAGGUUGCUCAGGGCAUUAUCCAGGUGAGUCCUGAAUAUCUCACAAGAUGGACAUCCCCCCACCUCUCUGGAUAGCCUCUUCCAAUGCUUGGUCACCCCGCAGGAGAUCAACCUUUUCCUCCCAUCUGACCAGCCCAGACCAUGGCUGCUGGCUCGUCUUCCAUCACUGAGGACCUCCGAGAGGAGCCUGCACUUGGGAGAAGAAGCAGUUUUUGAAUGGGCGCAUCCACAUGAGAAUGAGCGGAUAGCAUUUAAGAGGAUAUUCACGGGCAGACCUCUAGGCAAAGAAAGCCCUGCAGGGGUACCUGCUGAGGGCAGUGGUUUUCAUUUGAUAUAUGCAAUGGUUCUGAGAAAGCAUUUCUUGUGCUCCAGUCAGUCCCAAACCCUGCUUCUCCAAGCUCCUGGGCCCAUCCUACGUCCUUAAGUGGUGCUGUGCCAGUGUGUUUGAAGUUUGUUGAACAAGGUCACCUCCUCUGAAGAAUGUUUAUGUAACAGGAACUUGCAGCGCUGUCGUCACGGGCUGCAUAUGCUUUGGUUCUUUUGACAGGUUGUUUCUGGGCCAUCUCUUACAUGUUCUGUAUAUAAGGGCAAUUUGUCGCUGCUGGCAUUCAUCUUCCAUACAUAAGGAACUGAGCAGCUCUAGAGCUAGAGCCAAUCUUUCUAUCUUUGACUUUCAAGCUCUGGUGGCAAAUAUAAUGGCUUUCCAGUAAUCACGAUGCAUUUGUUAAAAUCCUGUCUGCAGCCCUUGCAUAGAAACAAUAGUCGACAGCUUUGCUUGGUGCUACCAGUCAUAAAUGUAAGUGUCCUUACCAGCUCUUUGAGACUUUUGACUUCUUUUUGUGAUCAGCAUCUGCUACUCAUUUUUGCACAGUAAGGCCCUUCCACUGGAUAUUUUAACAGUUAGCCUAACGGAAAGGUAACUUUCACGUAAGUCUCUACACAUUCUCCCUGUAAAUCAAUGGUAAUUUGUUGGCAAUCACUCAUUUCAAACUGAGAUCUCCCUGUUCUCUCAUGUACCAUCUUUUUUUUUUUUUUUCCUUGUCUUAAACAAGCAUAGUGUAGUUCAGGAAAAUGCAGUAUUUCAGUGCAGCUGUGUAAAUGGUGAGCUGACUUGUUCAGCUGAACAUCCUCCCUACAGGAGUGGGCAAGCAGUUGCCCAGAGAGGUGGUGGAGUCUCCAUCUGGAGGCAUUCCCAAUACCUACCUGGGCCUUCAGCAACCUGCUUGAGCCUCAAAGCUGGCCCUUCUUGGUGCAGGGGCUGCACUACGUAACCUCCAGCAGUGCCUGCCAACCCAACUUGUUCCAUUAAUUCCAUGUUUCUGUGUCCUCUGUUUGGUGGACAGGGUCGAUUUGAAAUAUAGCUUGGUUUACCUCACAAUAUAGCCUGGAAAUCAGUCUAGGGAGACAGAAAAUUAUGUCAGCUUUUCACAGACAGUUGACACAAAGAAUAUUGGCAAAUACCCUGAUUCGUGAUAUUUACCUUUUCAGACCAAAUCUGACAUGCCAUGCUUUUCUAUGAACUUCGGGAAAGGAUUAUACUGAGUUCUGCUCUCCUUUCAGUAUGGUACACAGAGGUCAGUGGGGUUACUCUGCUAUCACUGUGCUGUACCAAGACACACCGUAAUACAAAAUCUUAAUGUUCUAUCCUGUGCUCAAAUUUCUCAGAAAGCCCCCAAAAUUAUUUCCCACCAUUAAUCUUACAUUAUCCCUAUUAUUUCUUCUCAGAGAGAACAGCACAUUCUCUGUAAUUGCAUGAUCGGAGAUUUGAAAUUAUUUUAAUGGUGCAAAGCUUUUACGUAACAUCAAUUCUUAAUAAACGUGUCACUUCCAUGACCUGUUGCAGUUUGUCACAGGAAGCAUUAAAGAGCUAGUUAAUAUUUGA